UUUUUCCCCAUGGCGUGAUCCUCACUGUCCCAACCACCGCACCACCCUCCCCAUGUGAGCCUCCCCUCUCCUCAUCUUUAUCCCUGGACCACAGCAUCCCCAGCUGGCUCCCUUCCUCGCCCACGUCUCUUCCUCCCCUCCUUUCUUCCUCUCCAAGAAGAACCAGAAGCAAGGGAGAAACCCCAUGGCCGCCGCAGUUCACCGUCGACCCGCCGAUUCCGUCUACCCCACGUCGUUCUGAGGGCAUCGGCGGGUGCGCCUCGACGUCCUCGACCUUCCAGUACCUCCAAUCGAGACGGGGGCGCUCUAAAUCGUCGCCACCGACCUCCUCCCCCAACUCCGUCUGCGUCACGUUGACGAUGAUGGCGUCGCCAUCCAUCCCUCCCCGGCCUCUCCGACCAUCUCCACGCGUCCCUGAUCCUCGACGUCGGCGUCUCUCCGACGAGCUUCCGGCGACAGCACCACCACCAAGCGGUCAGCGCCGACGAGACGAGGCGAACGCGCCUAACCUCGCUUCCUGGGGGCGCCUGCAACGCCGGCGCGCGCGACGUCUGCCGUGGUGACCACCUCUGUCUGGAACGCGAGCGGCAUCUGGGCGUGCGCGCAUGGUUCGCCACGCUGGCGGCCACGUCGUCGCCUGGGCCCCGCUCGUCAGCGAACUUGGGUGGGAACCCGCCCGCAUUUGCUUCUUCCCGGAUAGGAUCGCGAAGUGGUGAUGUGAGAUACGACAAGUUCUCCGGAUGUCCCUCGGCAAGCUUUAACAGGCAAGCAUUUUCCCCUAUACUCCUGCCCCUGCAGAAGUCGCUCACCUAUUUUAUUUUGCCUUCUCCCUUAUGCUAUCCUUGAGUUGCGUUCUUGUCACGUGUCCCUUCCACUUGUUACUUCAAGCAGCCUAUAUUGCCACCACCACCUCCUACGGCUGUUGUUUGGUU